rnacentral:lncRNA from 1 species
CAAAGAAGCAGCUUUGGAGGAUUUGCAGAAGUGGAGUCAUGGGAGGGCAUUUUCUGAGCUCUAUGGGCCCUGGUGAUUGUCAGACACUCAGAGGAUCCUUUAAAAGUUUCUAGGACUAGGAAUGGAAAGAGAGAGGAGCCAGGUUAAGGCAAUCAGGUGGCGAUGGCAAUGCCCAGUGCAGUUAAGUGCUUUGUUCCUGUAUUUCCUCCAGACUUGCUGUCAAACCUGGACAGGAGCCGAGGAGGUGGGAGGCAAGGGCCAGUGCAUGUAGUGGGGUUCAAAUUCCAGUUCUACCCCUUCCUAGAGGAGGACUUGGGCAAAUGGAGUAGCUCCUCUGAGGUUCUCUGUCCAUAAUAUAGUGAUAAGAGGGCUUUCUGGGGGGAAGGUGGUAUUCAGUGAGGGGAGACAACUAAACUAUUAGCUUAUUUCUGUAAAUGUUCUCCAGUUCCAGGUUGGAGAAUGAUUCAAGUUAGCAAAAAUGAUGAGGAGGUUGGAAAGCUCCAAUGAAACCAUGGUCAGUGGGUGAUAAGUGUGUGUUGCAGUUUGAUAACAUGAAAGACUGAAACUGAGAGAGAGUUGAAAAAUAAGUCUUUAGAAAAAUAGAGUUUAGGGACUGGAAGCCUCAAUGAGGUAGAAAACCAGGGUGGAGUAAGGAGGAACUGAAAGCAAAAGAAAAGCACGUGUGUGACUUGAGAGUGAGAUUUCCAAAGUCAGUUUCAGUUACCACCCAAGCAAUCACUAACCCUUCUAAAUUGUCAUUAUUUCGUAUAUUGAUAUGGUAUUUUAUUAAUUAAUACACUUUUUUUUUCAAGAUAGA